rnacentral:rRNA from 1 species
GACGAACGCUGGCGGCGUGCUUAACACAUGCAAGUCGAACGGAAAGGCCCUGCUUUUGUGGGGUGCUCGAGUGGCGAACGGGUGAGUAACACGUGAGUAACCUGCCCUUGACUUUGGGAUAACUUCAGGAAACUGGGGCUAAUACCGGAUAGGAGCUCCUGCUGCAUGGUGGGGGUUGGAAAGUUUCGGCGGUUGGGGAUGGACUCGCGGCUUAUCAGCUUGUUGGUGGGGUAGUGGCUUACCAAGGCUUUGACGGGUAGCCGGCCUGAGAGGGUGACCGGCCACAUUGGGACUGAGAUACGGACCAGACGCCUACGGGAGGCAGCAGGGGGGAAUAUUGCACAAUGGGCGGAAGCCUGAUGCAGCAACGCCGCGUGCGGGAUGACGGCCUUCGGGUUGUAAACCGCUUUCGCCUGUGACGAAGCGUGAGUGACGGUAAUGGGUAAAGAAGCACCGGCUAACUACGUG